GUGAAUCAUCAAAUUUUUGAACGCAAAUUGCACUCUCUGGUAUUCCGGAGAGUAUGCCUGUUUGAGGGUCAGUUUAACUAAAAAUCGGUGUGGUUGCUGCCUUUCGUGGUGACGCACCGGAUGUGGGUCGGCGUGCCUUCGGUUAAGUGACCCAUAAUUUUGCAUGAUUUUUUCGAACGUAUUUUAAUGAUAUUACG
rnacentral:misc_RNA from 1 species